AACGCUAGCUACAGGCUUAACACAUGCAAGUCGAGGGGAAACGAUAUUGGAAGCUUGCUUCCGAUAGGCGUCGACCGGCGCACGGGUGAGUAACGCGUAUCCAACCUGCCCAUCACUUGGGAAUAACCUUGCGAAAGUAAGACUAAUGCCCAAUGACAUUUAUAGAAGGCAUCGGAAAUGAAUUAAAGAUUUAUCGGUGAUGGAUGGGGAUGCGUCUGAUUAGCUUGUUGGCGGGGUAACGGCCCACCAAGGCGACGAUCAGUAGGGGUUCUGAGAGGAAGGUCCCCCACAUUGGAACUGAGACACGGUCCAAACUCCUACGGGAGGCAGCAGUGAGGAAUAUUGGUCAAUGGGCGAGAGCCUGAACCAGCCAAGUAGCGUGCAGGAUGACGGCCCUAUGGGUUGUAAACUGCUUUUAUAGGGGAAUAAAGUGAGCCACGUGUGGUUUUUUGCAUGUACCCUAUGAAUAAGGACCGGCUAAUUCCGUGCCAGCAGCCGCGGUAAUACGGAAGGUCCGGGCGUUAUCCGGAUUUAUUGGGUUUAAAGGGAGCGUAGGCCGGAGAUUAAGCGUGUUGUGAAAUGUAGAUGCUCAACAUCUGCACUGCAGCGCGAACUGGUUUCCUUGAGUACGCAUAAAGUGGGCGGAAUUCGUGGUGUAGCGGUGAAAUGCUUAGAUAUCACGAAGAACUCCGAUUG
rnacentral:rRNA from 1 species